rnacentral:misc_RNA from 1 species
GACACUGUGGUUUCAAAACUAUCUCAAUAAUUUUCCAAACAUUUAAUGACAAUUAACACACAUGCAAUUAAAUUUUCAACAAUUUAGAUCAAUAGCAUAACAUACAUUUCAAUCACUAUUUUGCAAUAUAAAUAAAUCACAAUUCAUUUCAUGCACUUUGCAAAAAAAAUUUAAAGAAUAUUUUAUGUUGUGCACAAACCUUG